rnacentral:lncRNA from 1 species
AUGAUCAUUCUCGUGGAUAUGAAGCGCGUGACAACGGAUAUGGGAGUGGUGGAGGAGUUGGUGGUGGCAGCGAAAAAGGUGGUUAUGGUAAUAGAGAGGUGUUCAUAAAGGAGAAUAUGAUAAUCGGAAAGGAAAUGGGGAAGAAGGAGGUUCUAAUGGUAGAUAUGCACUCAAAAUUAAUUUCAUCUAAUCAAAAGAGAAUUGGAAACUUUUUUUUAAGCAAUGAACCCAAUAUUCAUAUUAAUUGGGCAACAAAAAUAAAGAAAUUGGGUAAGAGACAACGUUGUUUUAUAAAUCUUAUAUGUCAUUAGUUUACUUUUUGGUGAAAGUAAAUAAUUUGGAUUAAGUAUGCAUUUGUAUUAGAACAAAUUGAAUCCAACCAUAUACACAUUAUUUUACUUUUUUAAUAAUAUUUUUUAUUAAAUUAGAUGGUUUUAUUUUAAAAUUAAUUGAUAAUUACGUGAAUAGUAAUAUGUAUAUCUUAUAAACAAUAAUGUUGAUCUCUUCAAUUUUUUAUAUGCAGAAUUAUCAACAUUCUCCACCUAAUGUUCUAGGUUAUUUUUGUAAUCAAAGUGUAACUCUCAGACAAAAACAAAAACGAAAAAACCAAGAAAAUAACUAAAUUUUCAUUUAAAAAGAGAAAAAAGAAUAGCAUAUCAAACAUCCAUCCAAAAUAAGCAUAAUUAAGGGAGAGGGGGCCUAUACGUCAAUUGCUUAGUCUAAACCAAGACUAACAAAUGCCUUGUCCUAUGAUAAAAUAUUUAUAUUUCAAAGAUACAUAUAUUUUCACUACAUCCAAGAUCAAGAGCCAUUGUAUUAUAACAAAAGAUUGUACAAAAGGGGAGUUGGGGAGAAACUUAGAGUCAUAAUGUUCAAAGAGAUCUAAUUAAUACUUGUAAAAUUUUAAGAGCUAAAAUUUUGUAACAGAGAUUGAGAGUGUAAUCGCAACAAAUAAUCAUACUUCAAUGGUUGAUUAAUUUAUCAAGAAAAGUUUUAAAAAAACAUUUAAUGACAGUCAACAUCAACCCUUUCACGUCAUUAAAAGAAAAUUGGAACUUUGCCCACAUUUCUUUAUUAUUUUGCUAUUAAAAAUUAAUUUUGAUUCAAUCAAUUUUUUAGUUAUCAACUACUAUUCUUAAAAAAAUAUAUAUAUAUACAAAAAUUACGAAAAAGAAAUAUUACUUCUCAAACAAGAAUCAUCUUAAAUAAUCAUCCUAUCCAUUUUAAAAAAUAUAUAUAUUUUCAAUAAAUUAAAUAAUAAAAUUAUUGAAAAUAUUUAUAAAUAUAACUAAAAUAAAACUCUAAAAUCGAUGGAGGAUGUAACUUAUGAAAGUCUAUUAGCAUCUAUCAUUAACAUAUUCUAAAAUAUUUUUGUAAAUAUAUUUUGUUUCAUUUUGCUAUACUUAAAAAUAACCUUCCACAAAUUUAAAACUCAAAUUAAUCAAAACCAAUCCCAACAAAUAUUUUGUAUAAUUUAUGCGAUGUGCAUAAAUACGCAUUUUCCCACCAUAUUUGAUAGCAAAUGGCAAAUUAUUUAAUGUUUGUUUGAAGCAAGAAUUAGGCAAAGAAGCAUAUAUCUAUAUAAUAUGUAACUAGAUCUUAUAUUAUAGUGAUGCAAAAUCGUUUCAUAAGGCACUUCAUAUCUCUCUGUCUCAUGGCAUCUUAAGUACACAAAAUGAGAAAAAGGGAAAAAGGGCCCUAAUAUAAUAUGUGUCCUUUAAUUGGUGGAAUUUUAUUUAGCAUUAUUAAUUAAUCAACCGUGUAAAAUAUGGUAGGAAGAAUUAUUCUAAUGAUGAAUGAAAAUUUUAGGUUGGGAGGUCCCAUAUAUGAAGCAUAUGAGAAAUUUUCAAUCUUAAAAGAGUGAAUUAUCAAAUUAAAUUUACAUGAACGAAAUGAUAUAUCAUUUGGUUUGUAUUAAGUUUGUUUAAGUUUAGAUGAUUUACGAAAAUAGGUUUGUUAUGUUUAGGUUGACAAAACGACACUGUAUUUAGAUGAUGGUGUAAAUUUUAACAUGUUAAACAUGUGUUUUAUCUUGGUUUAUUGUGAUCUAAUACAAAUAAAUAUCGUUAUUGAAUUUUAGGUUAUCGUGUAAAGUUGUAAAAUAUUACAAAGUGGUGCAAGUGGGAAAAUGGGAUCAAAAGGAGAGUAUUGAUAUGAUUUCGUUCCAAUUAUAACUUAUUUUUUUAGUUUAAUGAGACAUAGGAAAAAGCCUACACUUUAGUGUUUUGCCUCUUGAACUUCCUUUGAGCUAUAUAUCCAAAAUUAAUAAUGAUUUUUUAGCACGUGUCUCCUCUUUAAUGGCCUCUAAGGUACCACACUAUAGAGAAGAGCUAAUGAAUCCUUGUUUUCUAUAUAAGGAGAUGGAUCCAUGCAUUCUAAGCAUACAUUCCUAUCCAUGGCUAUUCCUAAAGUGUUGUGCAUUGGCUUUCUUCUUUUUGUGGGUUUAGGGUUAGCUUCGGCUGCCCGAACUCUUCUUGAUUAUGAUCCACGUACACGUCGCUAUGAUUACGAUCAUCCUACUCCAAGAGUAGGGUACGACCCAAGUCAUCGUGAUCAAUCCUAUGAUAGUGCAUACAGUGGAAGUUCUAGUAAAGGAUAUGGAGUUGGAGACUCUGCUCUUGGAGGUUCUGGACGAUAUGAAGGUGGUGGAGGACGUGAUUCCGGAUAUGGAGGUCGAAAUGAUGAUCAUGGUGUGGGAUAUGAAGGUCGAAAUGAUGGUCGUGGUGCUGGAUACGGAAGUCGAAAUGAUGAUCGCAGUGCUGGAUAUGGAGGUCGAAAUGAUGAUCGUGGUGCUGGAUAUGGAGGUCGAAAUGAUGAUCGUGGUGCUGGAUAUGGAGGUCGAAAUGAUGAUCACGGUGCUGGAUAUGGAAGUCGAAAUGAUGAUCAUGGUGCUGGAUAUGGAGGUCGAAAUGAUGAUCGUGGGGUUGGAUAUGGUAAUGGUGGUGGAUAUGGAAGUGUAGGAGGACAUGGUGAUGGUUAUGGUAACAAUGGUGGUGGAAGCUAUGGAGAUCGUUAUGGCCCUUCUCUUGGAGGUUCGGGAUAUGGAAGUGGAGGAAAAGGAAGUGGCAAUGGCUAUGAUGAUCAUUCUCGUGGAAAUGGAGCACGUGACAAUAACUAUGGAGAUUCUCACGGACAUGAAGGACGUGACAGUGGAUAUGGAAGUGGUGGAGGAGUUAGCGGAGGCUAUGGCAAUGGAGGAGUUCAUGGAGGGGAGCAUGAUAAUAGCAAAGGAAGUGGAGAAGAAGGGGGUAGUGAUGGUGGAUAUGCUUUCAAAAAUUCCAUCUCAAACAAGAAUUGAGAACUCUCUUUUAAGCAAUGAACCCAAUAUCAUAUUAUGUUAAAGAAAAAUAAGGAAAUUGGGUAAGAAUGAAUAAUGUUGUGUUCUAAAUGUAUGUUGAAUUUACUUCAAAUGAAUGCUAAAUUUGAAUCAAUGAAUUAUGUUUGGAUUAUGUUUGUUGUUACAAAUUGAUUCCACCUUUCUUUUUGUUUUGUUUCUCUAUACAUUUUUCUAUAUAUCCAUAUUAAUAUGGAUUGAUUUUGGACCGAAUCGAAUGACAUAAUAAUCUAUGCCAAAUAAGAGUAAAACCACAUAGCCAAGAAAAUGAUAAGAGUAAAAGGAAAAAUAGUAUGUACAAUGUAAGACAAAUAAUUGUGUCUAGGAGAAGAGGGUGUUACUCAAGCCAAUGCAUUUAACCUCGACAAGACUCAACCUCAAGUUGAGCCUAACAAAAUGUCUAGUUGGGCAUACCCUUGUCAAAAUGCAUCACUUUAAUUAAGACUAAAAUAAACAUAUAGAGAAGGGAGUUUGAGCUUGAUAGGUCGAGACCAAUCCUAGCAGAAUAUUAAACAGAACUUGCCCUUCACAUGCCUCAACCUAAGUGAGUUGAAAAGGUUAUCGUAUCGUACCUCCAAAACUCUAUUCGGACAUAACCUAACUAAUUAACUAGGUUUAUUUAAUUCUACAAAUAAAUCAUUAGAGCUCUACAGAAACAAACUCUAUUCUCACUCAAUUUCUUUGACAUUUUUCAACUCUCUCUAAAAGCCAAAUAGGCACAACCCUAAAUCCUUACAUCUUCAAACCCUGUGUUUUAAUUACUAUGGAUAAAAGAGAACACAAAUCAAAUUUUACUUUCUUAUAUUUAGAUCAUAUUUCUUUUGAAAUUCAAAGUAAUGGAUAACACAAUAUGCUUCCAUUUCUAAUUUAAAUGAAAAUUUCAACAUUCCUAAUUACUGAUUUAUUUACACAAAAUAGCCCAAAGUAAAUAACUAUAAGUGAGUUUUCUUUACUAUUAUUUUGGUGAGUGAAGAUACUAUGAGUUUUUAUAUCACUAAAAUGUGAUAAUUUUUCCAACCAUUAUUGUAUUAGCAAAUGGGAAAUAAAUUAUUUAAUAAUGUAUCUAUAAAGUGGGAAGAAUUAGGGAAACAAAAUGCAUAAUUAAAUAUGUAAAAAAACUAUAGUAAUGCUAUGUCGUUUCAGAAACCAUUUGAAGAGUUAAGGAAAAAAGAGGGGAAAAAAAGCUCUAAUAUAAUAUAUGCUCUUUAGUCCUUUUUCUUAAAAAAAAAUUAAUGCUCUUUAAUUAGUUUGAAAUAGCCAUAUAAAUUAAAUAUCUUCCUAAAAGGAAAGAUGGGUUCUCAAGAAAAAAUAUAUUUCAAUGCUUCUUUUUCUUUUUCUUUUUCUUAAUCCUUGUUGAUGAAGAGAAUUCAGGCUUAAAAAUGGAGAAUUUCAUAUUUUCUAAUAUUUUACACUUUUUUCAACCUCAUAAACAAAUUUUGAUUAAAUGGUUGUAGUAAAGAUACUUUUCUUUUUUUUUCACCAAAAACAGCUUUAUUUUAUUUUAAUCUUCUGUCAUAUUUGUAUCGAGAAAAUUAAAUAAAUACUAUUUUUUUUCAAUAUAUUUAAUUUCGUUUUAAAAUAAAGGGAAAAUCCCUAGAAAUCAUCACUUUUCUCUUCUUCUUUGAAGACCCUCUUCUUUUAUGGUAUAACUUUCAUUAGUUGUUCUUAAUAUGCUUCUUUUAACUUUAACUGUCAAAUAUAUAUAUACACAUACAACGAUAAUUUAUCCUUAAUAUCAGAUAUAAAGUUUUUUUUAUGCAUGGCUCUAAUCCAAAAGACUUCAAAAAAAAAAUUACCAAAAUGUAAAUCGAUGAUGAGAAAUUAAAAAAUUGAUAUGGCUAAUGUUUAAUAAGCUAGAUUGAUUGAUAAGUUACUCAUCCCACAAUUACUUGAUUUUGAGAUGAAACGUCAAGUUAUCUAAUAUUAUAUCGUAACUCGCGAAAACAUAAACGAACAUUCAGAUCAAAAAAAUAAAUAUUGGAGUCCAAUUCAAGAAUGAUGAACCCAAAGAGAGACAUCAUUUAUCAAUGGUGUGUAUACUAGCCAAGGAUCUUAUCAUGCUAGAAUAAUUGAGGGACCUUUUAUGUUUAUAUAUAAGAUGUAUAUGUUUCUUCUCUUAUAUUUUAUAUUGGUUUUAAGAUGUAAAGCUCAUGUUAUCUAAUAUAUGAUGUCGGUUGUUCGAAAAUUCGAUGUAAAAAUAGUAAAUAAUCGAAAGAAGCACGGAUCCCAAAAGGACAUAUCAAGGAAACCUCACACCAUGCAUCUUUAUAAGUCCCUCACACCAUGCAUUCAAAAACUAUAAUUGAGGGACCUCACACCAUGUCAUGCAUCUUUAUAACGUCAAUCAUACAUAUCUAUUAUUAAUUUCCUCUCAUAUGGCUCAUGAUAUACUACGUGUAACAAUUUUUCAUUGCCAAGAAAUUUCCAAAUUGUAAUAGUGGUAAGUUAUGAAAUGAUUUUCUUACAAAUAUCUUCAUAGAUAAAUUAAUAAUAAAACAUCAUGUGUGAACGGCAGAAUCCAAUUGACUGAAAAAUCAUUUUGGAGUAAUAUUAUCGGUUGUGAGCACAAUCCUUUGAUCUAUUUGGUGGGAAAGAAACAGUAGAACCUUUACUUGAGAAGCUAUAAUUCUUACAUUUUUAUUAAUUAUCAUAUUACUUCGUCUUUAUUUUAAAAAUAUUCAUACAAGACAUGAGAGAUUAGCAUAGGCAUUCAAAUAUCAAUACCUUUGAACAAAAAAGCUUUUCCUUGGCCCUAAAAAAGUUGUACAACAAUUAACAAAACACUCCAAUAUUAAGGUUAAUAGGAAGAAUGCCUAAACUUAACUAUAAAAAUUGUUUGGAACUACAAAACUAAGCAAACUAAGGUGGCUAAACUCAACAUGAAAAUAAAGAAGAGUAAUUUAAACUUAGAUAUUUAUUCAUGUCACCUAAACUUUUAAAGUCGUUUUUGAUUGCAUGCUCCUCUAAACUUUAUCAAAUCUUGCGAGAUCAUGUAAGGGGAAAGAUGGAAUCAACUUAGCCUUACUUUAAUUUAAUAUGUUUUAGUACCACAUGUCAACAUAAAAUAAAGAAAUUAGGUUAGAGAGAAGGUUGUGAUCUAAAUCUAAGUACAUUAAUUAAUGUCAAAUUUCAAUCCAUGUUUGAAUGAUAAACAAAUUUGGAGUAAAGAAUAUUACUCAACCAUACAUAAGUAAGACUUCAACUCUAAUUGAAAGGGGCUGACAAGUAUAGUUACUCCUAAACUGUCUACAAAUAUUAAAUAUUAUAUGAAGACAAUAAAGUUAAGGGGAGUUCGAGUCCCCUAGACCUAUACUAAAUCCGUCGGUCAUGGUGAUGGUGCACAACACUCAAUUGUUCAACACAACUAUGAUGAAUUUUUUUGUUUGUUGGGAGAGAAAACACUAAUAUGUUUUAUUUCAUUAAAAUGUGAUAUUUUUGUCCCAUGAUUAUUGUAUAGAGAAAUGGGAAAUUAUAUAUAUAGUGUAAGCUUCAAGUGGGAAUUAGGAAACACAUGCAUAAAUAUAAAGUUACGAUAAUUAUAGUAAUGCAAUGUCGUUUCAGAAGCCCAUUAUUCAUCCUCUCAAUUAUCUCAUGCAUGGUGGCUCUCAUCAAGUUGAGAAAAAGGAAAAAAAAUAGGCCUAAUAAAAUAUAUGUUCUUUGUUUCUUGGUAACCAUUGUAAAUUAAUCGUAAUAUAAAUAUCUUCUAAAAGAGAAAAAAAGAAGACUCUCAAGACAAAUUAUCAUGCUUCGUCAAUCCUCUUUUUUUUUUUUUUUUUUUUCCUCAAUCUUUAAUGAUAGAAGAAAAUUUUAGCUCAAUAAAAUUGAAAUUUUUGUAUUUUAAAAAAUUUAUGAUGUUUUUUAACACGUGUAUAUAUAUAUAAUGAACAAUAUAACAAAAUAUCACAUUAAGUUUUACUAUAUAUUUAUAAAUAUUUUUUUAAUUAAUUUUUUCACUUAAUUUAAAAAUAUUUUUUCUAUAUAAAUAUUAUUAAUAAAGAACAAUUACAUUAGCUUCUCUUUUUACGUAUAACUCUUACUUUGGAUUGAACUUUUAACUCUUGAAAAGAGCAUUAGUGAGCCAAUUAAUUCACUUUGACUACAUAACUUUCUUUAGUUGCUUAAUAUAUUUGUUUUGGUGUUAAACUAUCAUUAUAACAGAACAAUUAGGAUAGUUUUCAUUUUCGUGUAUAACGUUUUUCUAUGGUCGAUAUCUAAGGAAAUAAUCAAAAAAACAAAUGUACUUACAAUAAAUUUCAUUGUGUCAUAAAAUGAAAUUUCCAAAUUAUGUAAGUGUUAAGUUGUAAAAGUUGAUAAUCAAAUUUCAAUGUGAAAUUAUAUAUUUUGGAAAUAUCUGCACCAUAGACAAAAAUUAAUAAACAAACUUCUCAAAAUUAAGUGUGUUAAUUAUAAGAGAAUGCCUAAACUUAACUAUAAAAAAAUAAGUUGGAGCCAAAACUAAUUAGCUAAAAUAUUAAGGUGAAUUUAUCACAAAAAGUACAAACAAGUGAAGUAAGGUGGUGUUGCAUAAAGCCUACUGAUUUUCAACUUUGGCUUUCUAAAUUUGAGCUCCUCACGUUUUCACACAAAAGCUUCUCACAACCUUUGAAUAAGAUCCUCUCAAAAGAACAUCAACUACUGAUGUAUUAAACUAAUAAAGAGCCAGCCUAGUUUACUUGACUACUAGUAACAUCCUCAACAGUGACGUACAUUUAAUUUCACAAACAGUGCGUAAGGAUUAAGGUUAAACAAUCUCUCAAAACAUGCACACACAGUAUUUUUAACAGAGCUAAUUAACCCUAAAAAUAAACAAAACUCAUAAUAUAUAUGGAAGCUGAUCUUGAGCAGAUAGGAAAAAAGAUUAUCAAAAAGAAUAGAAAAACAAAUUAAAUCAGCAGGUUUAAUUUUCCCUACACGGUUCAAUAGAUUAAGAAAAAAAUCUUGAUACAAAAUUCGAAGGAGAAAUAUAGAUUUUGACAGAAAAUGUUACAAAACAAGUUGCUCAAGUUUUGCUUGUAACAAAAUCCGCCAAUCGUAGUACAGUAACACAUAAGCAACUAAAAUGACUGAUCUCAACAAGAAUGGAAACACUAGAUAUGUUACAAGAGAACAUGCAUAAAUACAGUUUGGUCUAAUUAAAAAAACAGUGUCUUAGAUAACACAAGAAGGUAGAAAAAUAGAUGAGAGAGUAAUCAAACUUAGCUGACAAAUAUGGAUAUUAAUGAAUUUCACCUGAACUUUAUAUAGUUUUUCUUUACUCUUCUCUAAAUCUUACCAAAUAUUGCAAGAUCGUGUAAGUGGACAAUGGAAUAAUCGUAAUAAUCAAUUGAAGCCUUACAUAAAAUAUCGAUGUGUUUUAGUACCAAAAUCGAACUUUAGUUAGUACCUAAUAUGACAAAAGGCCUCACUACGUAGUAUUUUGCCUCAUGGACAUCCAUGGAGAAGUUGAUGAACCCACCACUUUUUUUAAACAUAUGACACCCUCUUUACCGUGAAGGACACCAUAGAGAAGUUGAAGAGACCCUCCACCCAUUUCCUAUAUAAAGAGAUCAAUGCAUGCAUUUUCUUGGCAUUCUACUCAUUCUCUAAUUCUCUCCAUGGCUAUCCUUAGAGCACUGUGCCUUGCCUUUCUUCUCUUUGUACGGUUAGGUUUAGCUUCGGCUACUAGAACUCUUCUUGAUUAUGAUCCACGUACACUUCAAUAUGGCUAUGAUCGUCCUAGUCCAAGAGUAGGGUAUGAUCCUGGCCAUGGGGAUGAAUCCUAUGAUAAGGCAUACGGUGGAAGCUCUAGUAGAGGACAUGGAAUUGGAGACUCUGCUCUUGGAGGUUCUGGAUACGAAGGUGGUGGAAGACACGAUUAUGGAUAUGGAGAUCGACAUAAUGAUCGUGGGGUUGGAUAUGGUAAUUAUGGUGGUGGAUAUGGAGGUGUAGGAGGACAUGGUGAUGGUUAUGGUAACAAUGGUGGUGGAAGCUAUGGAGAUCGUUAUGGACCUUCUCUUGGAGGUUCAGGAUAUGGAAGUGGAGGAAAAGGAAGUGGCAAUGGCUAUGACGAUCAUUCUCGUGGAAAUGGUGCACGUGACAAUAGCUAUGGAGAUUCUCAUGGACAUGGAGGACGUGACAGUGGAUAUGGGAGUGGUGGAGGAGUUACUGGUGGCUAUGGUAAUGGAGGAGUGCAUGGAGGAGAGUAUGAUAAUAGCAAAGGAAGUGGAGAAGAAGGAGGUUAUGAUGGUGGAUAUGCUGUUAAGAACUCCAUCUCAAAGGGAAAUUGAGAAACCCUUGGCUUCUUUUUCUUAUUAUACUAUGCCAGCUAAAAUAAAAAUAUGGGGUAAGGGAUCAAGAAUAUUGUUAUCUAAAUCUAUGUUUGAGUUGCU